rnacentral:rRNA from 1 species
UGGGGAAUAUUGCACAAUGGGCGCAAGCCUGAUGCAGCCAUGCCGCGUGUAUGAAGAAGGCCUUCGGGUUGUAAAGUACUUUCAGCGAGGAGGAAGGCGUUGUGGUUAAUAACCGCAACGAUUGACGUUACUCGCCGAAGAAGCACCGGCUAACUCCGUGCCAGCAGCCGCGGUAAUACGGAGGGUGCAAGCGUUAAUCGGAAUUACUGGGCGUAAAGCGCACGCAGGCGGUCUGUCAAGUCGGAUGUGAAAUCCCCGGGCUCAACCUGGGAACUGCAUCCGAAACUGGCAGGCUAGAGUCUUGUAGAGGGGGGUAGAAUUCCAGGUGUAGCGGUGAAAUGCGUAGAGAUCUGGAGGAAUACCGGUGGCGAAGGCGGCCCCCUGGACAAAGACUGACGCUCAGGUGCGAAAGCGUGGGGAGCAAACA